rnacentral:rRNA from 1 species
CUAAGCGUACACGGUGGAUGCCCUGGCAGUCAGAGGCGAUGAAGGACGUGCUAAUCUGCGAUAAGCGCCGGUAAGGUGAUAUGAACCGUUAUAACCGGCGAUUUCCGAAUGGGGAAACCCAGUGUGAUUCGUCACACUAUCAUUAACUGAAUCCAUAGGUUAAUGAGGCGAACCGGGGGAACUGAAACAUCUAAGUACCCCGAGGAAAAGAAAUCAACCGAGAUUCCCCCAGUAGCGGCGAGCGAACGGGGAGGAGCCCAGAGCCUGAAUCAGCAUGUGUGUUAGUGGAAGCGUCUGGAAAGGCGCGCGAUACAGGGUGACAGCCCCGUACACAAAAGCGCAUGUGCUGUGAGCUCGAUGAGUAGGGCGGGACACGUGGUAUCCUGUCUGAAUAUGGGGGGACCAUCCUCCAAGGCUAAAUACUCCUGACUGACCGAUAGUGAACCAGUACCGUGAGGGAAAGGCGAAAAGAACCCCGGCGAGGGGAGUGAAAAAGAACCUGAAACCGUGUACGUACAAGCAGUGGGAGCACAGGUUUACCUGUGUGACUGCGUACCUUUUGUAUAAUGGGUCAGCGACUUAUAUUCUGUAGCAAGGUUAACCGUAUAGGGGAGCCGUAGGGAAACCGAGUCUUAACCGGGCGUUAAGUUGCAGGGUAUAGACCCGAAACCCGGUGAUCUAGCCAUGGGCAGGUUGAAGGUUGGGUAACACUAACUGGAGGACCGAACCGACUAAUGUUGAAAAAUUAGCGGAUGACCUGUGGCUGGGGGUGAAAGGCCAAUCAAACCGGGAGAUAGCUGGUUCUCCCCGAAAGCUAUUUAGGUAGCGCCUCGUGAAUUCAUCUCCGGGGGUAGAGCACUGUUUCGGCUAGGGGGCCAUCCCGGCUUACCAACCCGAUGCAAACUGCGAAUACCGGAGAAUGUUAUCACGGGAGACACACGGCGGGUGCUAACGUCCGUCGUGAAGAGGGAAACAACCCAGACCGCCAGCUAAGGUCCCAAAGUCAUGGUUAAGUGGGAAACGAUGUGGGAAGGCCCAGACAGCCAGGAUGUUGGCUUAGAAGCAGCCAUCAUUUAAAGAAAGCGUAAUAGCUCACUGGUCGAGUCGGCCUGCGCGGAAGAUGUAACGGGGCUAAACCAU